rnacentral:rRNA from 1 species
GACGAACGCUGGCGGCGUGCUUAACACAUGCAAGUCGAACGGAAAGGCCCUGCUUGCAGGGUACUCGAGUGGCGAACGGGUGAGUAACACGUGGGUGAUCUGCCCUGCACUUCGGGAUAAGCCUGGGAAACUGGGUCUAAUACCGGAUAGGAGCCAUUUUUAGUGUGAUGGUUGGAAAGUUUUUUCGGUGUAGGAUGAGCUCGCGGCCUAUCAGCUUGUUGGUGGGGUAAUGGCCUACCAAGGCGGCGACGGGUAGCCGGACUGAGAGGGUGGACGGCCACACUGAGACUGAGAUACGGCACAGACUCCUACGGGAGGCAGCAGUGGGGAAUAUUGCACAAUGGGCGCAAGCCUGAUGCAGCGGCGCCGCGUGGGGGAUGACGGCCUUCGGGUUGUAAACUCCUUGCGCUAGGGACGAAGCUUUUUGUGACGGUACCUAGAUAAGAAGCACCGGCUAACUACGUG